UCUAUCUACACUACUGUCAUAUUGUCAUAAUCAGCUAAUUAUAAGAUUAGCAACAGUGCUCCUACUAAGCCUGAGAUACUUAAGGCAAGUAAUGUUCAUUAUCUUAAAUAAUUUAAUAAGAUCGCAUAUGAGGAUAAAAAAAGUAACAGAUUUUGGUAUAAUCAAAAGACCAGAACUAUAGUUUUUUUUCAGUAAUGUGGUGUCUGAAUUACAUUCUCUAUCAUUUGUAAAUGAAGAUCAUUUUGGAAAUAACGGUAAUGAUUCACUUCCUAGUACUGUAUUUAAUACUGAGGUUUUUUAUGCUUUCUUAUGAAAACUUCAUGAAGUGCUUAAUACGAAAUGCAUAAUAAAAUCCAUCGCAAGCUUACAGAUACCGACGAAUGUUGUUACCCAAUACCCACGGCCACUUGGACAUUUCGAACUGCUUAUGUAGUCACGUGAGUGAGUUCCCUAUCGAACUGUUUGUCCCAGACUCCCAGUUUAUUAUCGGCAAGGAUGGCUAGAGUACUCGGAAUGUCUUUUGUUAUUGUCAUGUGGAAUUGUUGGUAAUUGAACGAUGCUGAAACCUGAUUGGUUCUUGCUUAAGAUUUCACGAAUUACGUAUUACCUUGGCAUCCAGGUGUUUGUGGUCAUGGUUCCCGUGGCGAAGACUUGUAACCUCUGCCCAGUCUCUUGGAAUUUUCAGUGGGGAAAAAGACAAGAGUGAAAUACCAGGAUGUACUCAAGAUCCUCAUGCCUACCUCUGCAAUUUCCGAUUCUGAGGAAGCGGCUUCGCUUUGCUGUCUACUGCUCCAGGGCACUCUUGACGGGUAUCCUAAUGCCCUUUUUAUUCGAUGGUGGAGCACCUGAGACCCAAAACGUUGGCAUCGCUCCUUUGCCCUGUGUAGAAGUAAAAGAGGAAUUAAACAUGGAAGCCUUUGACGGUUGUGGGACAUUAAGCCUGGCAACAUAAGGACUCCAUUUGAGUCUAAAGAUAAAAUUGGAAUAGAAAUCACAAUGACAGUACAACUCUGAUUCACUUAAUGUGUCAUAGUUCGUUCUGCUUCUGGACCAUACUACAAAGGAGAGCCUAUUCCUCCAGCAUAAGAAAAUGAUGUAAUGGAUGUAUCCUGGAAGGGAAGAUACCUCCUAUGAUAGGGUUCUGUGUGAAUAUUUGUGCUUUAGCAUUAUAUAUUGAAUGGUGUCAUCAUCUCUCCAUACUCCCAACAAGAUUACAUAAAAAUUAGGGAAGCUUUAAAUAAGCAAGAUAUCAGACUUUAUGCCAUUAUUCAAGUGUCUGACAUCAUGGAAUCUUUGCAUGCUGCAGGGACAUCUGGAUUUUCAUUUAAUGCAAGUGAGAACAUUGCAUACCCAUCAAAUAGUACUGUAGUAGCAAUUUCUGACAUUCCAGACCUGCCAGGUAGUGUUUGCUACAUCUAUACGUUCGAAGCUCAUCAGUGACAACAGCUGAUUAAAUAUAGCAAGCCUACCAAGGAGUGCUGCAAUUAGAAAUUUUAUUUUAUUGCUGUUUAAGUUGAAAUUAUUAUAGCCCAACUGCAACCUCUCUCAACAUUUACUUAUAAACAGAUGUCAGCAGUAUUUCAGACAAAGUAAGUAAUUUUGUAUUCAAUAGCCUGGAGUUAAAAGUUCCAGUAAUGGUGAGAGAAAGCAUCCAGCUUGCAAAAUUUAAAGGUAGUUGUUGCAUAACUGUCAUGUAUACAUAGGACAUUUCAAAAGAAUUCUUUAGCACUCGGCUGGCAAAACUUGAAGGCUUGUACUAUAUAAGUAUGUUUUACACACUGUUUUUGUGCCCUCUGACACUACUUUCCUUCCAAAUGUAGCAGCAUGUUUACUCCCAAUUUAUGUAGAUAAUUUUUCUAUGUUGAAUGUUUGUGUAGAUAAUUCUACUAUGUUGAAUGUACUAAUAUUUUGUCUUUUAUAAAGGUUGUAAAGGCUUUCCAUUUUAGGUGUGGGCCAAAGAACUUUGCUAAUUAACUUAUGGGUAUGAGAUAAUCUGGAAUUAUAUAAGGCAGCUUACUUUUGUUCCUUUUUUUGCAUUUUUCUAAAACAACUUCUGUGGUUGGAAGCUUUCUGAUGAGGCCCAUUUCUUCAUUUAUACUAUAGAAUUGCUGCUGAUCACUUUUAUGCAGUAUUGCACAACCAUUAAAAAUAGUUUUAAUUCCAUAUUAAAAACAGUAAGAGAUGAAGCAGAUUUGUUCACUAUUAACAAAGCUUGGGUAUUAAAUUUUGAUUGAAAAUAUGAUGGAUGCUACUCUGUGAAAUAAGUUAAUGUGUAUUUUUCAAUUGUUAUUCUUGUAGUUGCAGCUAGUGGUAAUAUAAGAACCACAAGGAAAUUUAUUUUCCUUUUUUUCAGUAUUGGUAUUUCUUACUUUGCCAAUAUACAUUUGAUUAGAAGAGUCAUAUACAAAUGUGAUUAUCUGCAAAUAUAUCCAUAUAUAUUAUUCUGACCGUAAACAUUUAGGAAUUGUAACCUUGGGCAGCAAGUCGAAUGCAGAGUAGAUCCUGAAGAGUUUCCAGUUUCCAUAGUCUGUAGAAGUUUCUAAGGGUUGUCAUCGAGUAGCAUUAGUUUUUCAUAAGGAGUUCCAAAGUCAUUAACAUUUCUACUUUCCUUAGUUUAGUUUAUUUUCUUUCCACAGCCCAUUGUCAGCCUCCAUGAGUUUCCAGAGCUUUGGUUUCUGUGAUUUCCUAAAUAGAGAGUGGUUCUCCUUGCAACAACCUCCAGAGCUACUAUUCCUGUCAUCAUCCAGAGCUACUAUUCCUGUGUCAUCAUCUCAACUGUCAUUGGCUCUCCCUGCACCAUGCAUUGUGCCGUCAACAUCAGUGUUGUUUCCAACAACUUCAACCAACAUACUACGUCUGCUCCCUUCGCCUUGCUCAUUCAAGCUCUCUGAGAGUCGUAGGUAUUUUUCUGAGUAAGUAUGGCUUUGAGUAAUGGAGAUAGCAAGCUUAUCUCUCUUCCCCAAGGACCUGCUUAACGUUGUAGUCGACAGACAUUGGGCACACAGCAAUGACUGUCUAGUGCAUCAAGCCCUCGCCUUUCACUUCUAAAAGACCUCAGAGGUUGUCAACCUAUGCCAUCAGGAAGAACUCCAUGCUUAUGAUACACCUGAAGGACGCAUUCUUCCAGACUCUAAUCCACCAAUCAUCCGGGAAGUUUCUUCCCUUCAAUCUGACAGAGUUUACCAGUUCAAGGUUUUGCUUUAGCCUUUCAACUGCCCCACAGGUGUUCGCAAGAGUAAUCUCAACCUGGUGUCAUCCUCACAGGAUAUACAUUCCGAGAUACUUUGACAACUAACUAGUCGUCAAAGGCUAAUGCAAGACAGCGACCUUUUAUUCCAAUGUUGUCACAUUGUAGGCAUGAUAAAUUUAGAGAAGUUAAUUCUAACGACCAAAAAAAGAAUUCUUUACCUGAUCAUGCUUAUAGACAACAGUGGUGAGGGUACUCCCAUCACACCAGCGUAUCAAAUUCAGGAAUGUUGUUCAGUCCUUCCUAUCCAGAAAGAAGCAACCAGGACGUCAAUGGUAGAUCAUUCUCAGUUACCAGUCCCCCAAGAGGAGCUGUUCCUCAGCAAUUUCUCCCCCUCGGUCUCUUCAAUGGAGAUGAAAGCAGCCCUCCUAGUACAUCAAGUUUCAAGAAAGGGUGACGGCACUCCGUGGCUCUCAUGUCCGACAAACUAUACAAAAGGUAGCUUAUGUCAACAAAAGUGGGGGCUAGUGUACUGUCAGUUUAUGAAGAUGACAGGCCACUAGCCCCCUUUUGUUGACAAAAGCUACCAAUGUAGUAUAGUGUUGUUGGACAUAAGAGAGCCACGGAGUGCUGUCACCCUUUCUUGAAAGUCCUGACGUGCUACGAGUUUCAAGAUUUCUGGGUUGUGGCAGAAGCAGGUAAUCAACAUAGUGAUGAUUUCUUAGAACUUCUGGAUGAACCUAGUGGCUCCCUUGUGGCCACAUGCAGAAUGGUAACCCCAUCACCAAGGGAGAUUCCCCACUGGCACAAUCUCCUUAUGGGUGGAGACUGUCCAGUUUCUCCUAGGAGCAACAGGCUUUUCUUGCAGAGCAGUUGUGCCUGCCUCCUCCACUCCCAUUGCCAACAAAAUCCUUAAGCUAUUUCACGCUAGAGGAAUUCCCAUACAUUAAGACCACAGGUUUCUUGGGUUAUGAAAAAUGACAAAUUUUUAACCAAUUUGUAUUUUUCAUAACUAACAAACCUGAGGUCUUAACAUUAGGAUAAUACUAGCGCAAAGCUGGAAACCGGUAGAAUUAAUAACAAACUUGUGAGAUCCAGGGACUACAGGCAUCUAUACCAGGUCACAGGGUAUGUAGUACCCAGAAUGCCCUUGGCGUCCCAUGACCCAUCAGUUACUCUUCCAAACCAGUUACAAAUUUAUUAAAAAUUUGUUCAUACGAGAGCUUGUACUCUCAACAUUAAUCUGAA